AGUGCAAUGGCAUAAGCCCGCUUGACUGCGAGAAUGACAAUUCGAGCAGGUGCGAAAGCAGGUCAUAGUGAUCCGGUGGUUCUGAAUGGAAGGGCCAUCGCUCAACGGAUAAAAGGUACUCCGGGGAUAACAGGCUGAUACCGCCCAAGAGUUCAUAUCGACGGCGGUGUUUGGCACCUCGAUGUCGGCUCAUCACAUCCUGGGGCUGAAGUCGGUCCCAAGGGUAUGGCUGUUCGCCAUUUAAAGUGGUACGCGAGCUGGGUUUAGAACGUCGUGAGACAGUUCGGUCCCUAUCUGCCGUGGGCGUUGGAAGAUUGAAGGGGGCUGCUCCUAGUACGAGAGGACCGGAGUGGACGAACCUCUGGUGUUCGGGUUGUGUCGCCAGACGCAUUGCCCGGUAGCUAAGUUCGGAAUCGAUAACCGCUGAAAGCAUCUAAGCGGGAAGCGAGCCCUGAGAUGAGUCUUCCCUGAUACUUUAAGUAUCCUAAAGGGUUGUCGGAGACUACGACGUUGAUAGGUCAGGUGUGUAAGUGCUGUGAGGCAUUGAGCUAACUGAUACUAAUUGCCCGUGAGGCUUAACCAUACAACACCCAAGGGGUUU
rnacentral:rRNA from 1 species